rnacentral:rRNA from 1 species
CCCGAGGUUGUGGGGUGCGUCCAAGUCCUUCUUGAACGGGGCCACUGCCCAUAAAGGGUGCCAGGCCCGUAGCGACCGCUGCCGAUCGCGGGAGGAUCUCUCCUCAGAGUCGGGUUGCUUGAGAGUGCACCCCUAAGUGGGUGGUAAACUCCAUCUAAGGCUAAAUAUGACCACGAGACCGAUAGCGAACAAGUACCGUGAGGGAAAGUUGAAAAGCACUUUGAAGAGAGAGUUCAAGAGUACGUGAAACCGUUCAGGGGUAAACCUGAGAAGCCCGAAAGGUCGAAAGGGGAAAUUCAUUCGCGUUUCGGCCGUCGGCGUUAGACGAUCGAGUGACGGAUGGCGUACGCGUCGUCCGCGCCUUUCGUCUUUCGAACCGGCGUCGAACGCGUGCACUUUUCCCCUAGUAGGACGUCGCGAUCCGUUGAGUGUCGGUCUACGGCCCGCGGUGGAGUCCGUACGGUCGCUUCGGCGUAUCGCACGAACCCGCGGUGUUCCGGCCGACUCGCUCGACGGUAUACAGAUGGCGCGAGGCCGCUACACAGUUAGCGUUCGGCCUGUGGCAAGCUCGUUCGGCGUUUGACGGCGAUCGGACCCGGUGCCGGUCCCGUCCACGAACGACUGUUGGCUACGGUGUUCUCGAACAGACCUCGAACUUAUGAAACGCCGAUCUGCGACGCUAUAGCUUUGGGUACUUUCAGGACCCGUCUUGAAACACGGACCAAGGAGUCUAGCAUGUGCGCGAGUCAUUGGGACAUAACUAAACCUAAAGGCGUAAUGAAAGUGAAGGUCCGCCUCGCGCGGAUCGAGGGAGGACGGU